rnacentral:Y_RNA from 1 species
GGUUGGUCUGAGUUCAGUGGUGUUUACUACUAAUUUAUUACAGAUUUAUUUUUCCUUCCUCACUCUCACUGCUUCACUUGACUAGUCUAAA